UGAAUUUCAGAUCAGCCUAGGCUUGAAUGAAACCCACCCUCAAAAAAACAACAACAAGAGGCUACUCCCAUGCUUUAGAAAUAUCUGUAUUUACCAGAGAACACUUGGAAAUGAUGGUGUAUUCAGAUGUCACACAAAUGAAUGCACAUGUUCUAUGGCUGGAUUCUAGAAAGGCAGAGUCAAGAGCAUAGCUGGCUCUCUUCCCAACAACCUUCAUCAGUACAGAUAGAUGCAGAUGCUAAGGAAAGAACCACCCCAUCAUACCUCAAAAGGGC